rnacentral:rRNA from 1 species
CUGGUCUUGACAUCCACAGAACUUUCCAGAGAUGGAUUGGUGCCUUCGGGAACUGUGAGACAGGUGCUGCAUGGCUGUCGUCAGCUCGUGUUGUGAAAUGUUGGGUUAAGUCCCGCAACGAGCGCAACCCUUAUCCUUUGUUGCCAGCGAUUAGGUCGGGAACUCAAAGGAGACUGCCAGUGAUAAACUGGAGGAAGGUGGGGAUGACGUCAAGUCAUCAUGGCCCUUACGACCAGGGCUACACACGUGCUACAAUGGCGCAUACAAAGAGAAGCGACCUCGCGAGAGCAAGCGGACCUCAUAAAGUGCGUCGUAGUCCGGAUUGGAGUCUGCAACUCGACUCCAUGAAGUCGGAAUCGCUAGUAAUCGUGGAUCAGAAUGCCACGGUGAAUACGUUCCCGGGCCUUGUACACACCGCCCGUCACACCAUGGGAGUGGGUUGCAAAAGAAGUAGGUAGCUUAACCUUCGGGAGGGCGCUUACCACUUUGUGAUUCAUGACUGGGGUGAAGUCGUAACAAGGUAACCGUAGGGGAACCUGCGGUUGGA